rnacentral:rRNA from 1 species
UACGUAGGGUGCGAGCGUUGUCCGGAUUUAUUGGGCGUAAAGAGCUCGUAGGCGGUCUGUCGCGUCUGCUGUGAAAACUCAGGGCUUAACCCUGAGCUUGCAGUGGGUACGGGCAGACUAGAGUGCGGUAGGGGAGACUGGAAUUCCUGGUGUAGCGGUGAAAUGCGCAGAUAUCAGGAGGAACACCGGUGGCGAAGGCGGGUCUCUGGGCCGUAACUGACGCUGAGGAGCGAAAGCAUGGGGAGCGAACAGG